CUUCUCUUUCUUUCACCUCUGACCUCUCCCAUACACCACGCGACCUCGAGCUCUACGGCCAGCUGGGAAGGACCUCGCGUCCGAGUGCUGCGCCCAGGCCCACAAAGCCGGCCAUCUGGGUGAGGCCGUGCAGGGCAGGAUUGGGAAGGAGAGACAUUAGCUCUAGCCAGAUGGGCCGCCCGUGCCUCCAUGACGCCGGCCUCCCUCGUGGUCCUUCAUUACCCCACGCUUCGAGAUCCACUGCCGCCCUCUCCUUUCAUCUCCUCUUCGCCACCACGUGGAUGGGGAUGGUACCCUCAAUCACCACCACCAUUGACGGCGUGCUCUGCAUCCCUCAUCAACCCAUCGAGUCGCCCUCCCCUUGGGUCCGACCGGCUUGGUUCUAGCGGCGGCGCAAGCUCCAGCCGUGCAAUGAGAAGUGAAGCAAGGUGGGCACGUACAGAUCAAUCAGCAACUCCUUGUCGUGUGGCUACAUCGCCGGCGGUGGUCGGCCGAGUUCAGCUCGCUGCAGUGGCAAGGAGCCGACGGAGGAGCAGGUGGGAGGAGAAGGUGCCGGUGGUGGUUUCGAUCAAUGGGAGGACGCCGCCACCACGGAUCUAAUCCCCAUUCCUCUCCACCAUCGGUGGCCAUGUGCAUGUGUCUCGCAGGAUCCAGCUUCUAUUCACAAUGCAUUUACUGAUUACUCUAAUGCUUUGCUUCAUAUCCAAAGCCUAUCAUCAGACUUAAUUUGCCUUGCACAACUAGGUGACGAAACUUGAAUCUGUGUCAUCAAGAGGAAUAGAUCAGGAGAGGGCGAGGUAUCAGAAGGUUGAAGAACUGAAAGAAACAAUAAGAACAACAGAAGACGCAAAAAAUCAUUCACGCAAAGAGUAUAAGCUUAUUAAGGUAUCCUGCUUUUCAAGUAUGCGGUGCUGUAGUGAACUAGUGAUUGAUUCAUGUGUGGAUUAGUUUACCUCUUUCUAAGGUAUCUUGCUAAUUAUCCUAAAGGCAUGCUAUUCCUUGUUGUUUGUGUUAAGCAGGUAACUUGUAAUGGUUGCUAAUUAUAUAUUCAUGUGCACCAGAUUAUGCCCUUUUGACUUCGUAUCACUUUACUUAUACUUAAUUACAAGCUAAGUAUCUGUUUACUUGUUUCCAUUAAGAAAAGUAGCUUAAAAAAUAUGUGAAGGUUAUAUAAGAUCAAAAUAUUAACAUGUAAAUCUGAAAUAUAAACAUCAGUGAGCAAUGCUCCUGCAUCAGGGACUCAGGGUAUAAAUGUGCGUUUUUUAGAUUGAGUACAUUCUAUUCCAUUAACCGCUACGACCAGCAAUAUCGUCUCCAGCUACCAAACUGAGCACAAAGUCAGGAUCACCAUCUAGCUAGCCAAACACACGUCAGGGACCUUGUAACAAUGCACCUUUGUUUCUCAGAUAUUUUUUUGACCUGUAUACUAUUUAUUUGGUUUGUGUUCCUGUUCUUUAUCGAAAAAUACAUCCAUAUUGUUUAUACACAUAAUUACCUCUCUGUAAAAAUUGAUGUUUUCAGAGAUCCGGUGAAGAAAUGUCCUUCAUCGCUGAGACUAUACUGUUGGACAGUGUCAUUGCUUCUGAAUCAACUAAAGUAUCUGUAAUAUAAACCUGUUGCCUAUGUGUUCAUAUGUGCUUAUCAGUGCAAUAAGCAUCUUUCAUGUCUCUCUUUUCUAGCCAUCUGAUUGAUUUCAAUUUCUUUCUGAUAUGCAUCGCGAUAUAAUGAGUUUAUCUAAGACCACCUCAUCACUAACAUCUGCAACAGCAAAGUCACCGCGAACCUAGCCGCAGCUGUAGCCAAGGCUGGCAUAACUGGAUGCGAGAAGACAAAUGGUAAUCUUCUGUACGCAGGAUGUCACAUGUUCUACAAUCUUUGGUGUUUCAGGAUCGUUUGGACAAGUUUACAGAGGAGAAUGACAUGGAACAAUCUUGCACUGUCGCCCUUGGAUAUUGGGAAGUCUGAAGAAGCCUGUGGUUUAGGGUUCUUGCGAAUCAUGCUGGUCGUUCAGCGCGUCUGGGCAUUGGAGUGGGCCAACUACCUGACGACAGGCAAGAUGGAGAUGCUCUCUGAGCAGCAGUUGCUGCGACCAUGAGUUGAGUAAGAGCCAGCAACCUCAAGGAACAAUAACCAUUCAAGAUUAAUGCACAUUUGGUUUGCCGUGGCCUGGGCGUCAUAAAAAACGGCAAGGACGUCACUGAGGCUGCCUUGGAUGCUCUUGCCAACCAGUUGAAGGAGUAGCUGAAGCUGCAGGACAUUGUCGCGCUCCGAGAAAUCUUCAGGCUCGAUGACGAGCAGGCCGUGGCGAUCAAGCAGGGUGCCCUUGUCAACCUUGGAGUUGUUGAUGCUCUAGAUCAUGAAAGAGAGAGUAUUCAGGCCACUGAUGUGUAAGCUCCCUUCUGUUUAUACAUGACCUGUUGGGGAAGAUUAACUCUAAUGACAGCACAAUGCACUUGUUCUUGUUGUUGCUGGCCGUGAAUGCCUGUAGGGUGUUUUGGGCUAUUGUUUCCCCUUUUGAGUUUGCUCGGGGGGAAGAGCUUGCUAAACCACCUCUGUAAUGUGCAUUAUUAAUUUUAUGCUAGGAAAGUGAAAGGGGUGCCUCCUACCUGGCACCGCCUAACUUUCUCUCGGGCGGCGCCACCGGGUGGCGCCCCAACCACUAGUAGAAACCAAAAUUGGGAAUGUAGGUGGAUGGGGGUGUCAUUGGCGCUUGUUGGGGUGGCCACUAUCAUCAUCGCUGCGUCAAUCUUUGCAGAUCGGACGACGACGGCGCCCUGGCGUCAUUCCCCUUCUUGAAAGCGUCGUCUUGUAUGCUUGCAGUGUCCUCGGUGGCAGUUUCAAUGUUGUUGGUCGUCUGGUUGGUCUGGUUUGGGCUGCAUCCCAGGGUGGCGAGUUUAGCCGUGUUACUUUUCUGU